CCUACGGGAGGCAGCAGUGGCGAAUAUUGGACAAUGGGGGGAACCCUGAUCCAGCCAUGCCGCGUGUGUGAAGAAGGCCCUCGGGUUGUAAAGCACUUUCAGUGAGGAAGAACGCCUGGUGGUUAAUACCCAUCAGGAAAGACAUCACUCACAGAAGAAGCACCGGCUAACUCCGUGCCAGCAGCCGCGGUAAUACGGAGGGUGCGAGCGUUAAUCGGAAUUACUGGGCGUAAAGCGCGCGUAGGUGGCUUGAUAAGCCGGUUGUGAAAGCCCCGGGCUCAACCUGGGAACGGCAUCCGGAACUGUCAAGCUAGAGUGCAGGAGAGGAAGGUAGAAUUCCCGGUGUAGCGGUGAAAUGCGUAGAGAUCGGGAGGAAUACCAGUGGCGAAGGCGGCCUUCUGGACUGACACUGACACUGAGGUGCGAAAGCGUGGGUAGCAAACAGGAUUAGAUACCCUUGUAGUC
rnacentral:rRNA from 1 species